GAUGAACGUUGGCGGUGUGCCUAAUACAUGCAAGUCGAACGGAGACUGUAGCAAUACUGUCUUAGUGGCGAACGGGUGAGUAACGCGUUGGUGAUCUGCCUCGAAGUGUGGAAUAACCUCCCGAAAGGGAAGCUAAUACCGCAUAGUCUCUCAAGGUUUAGAAAAUUGAGAGUAAAGGAUUUAUUCGCUUCGAGAGGAGCCUGCGUCCCAUCAGCUAGUUGGUAGGGUAACGGCCUACCAAGGCAAUGACGGGUAGGGGACCUGAGAGGGUGGCCCCCCACAAUGGAACUGAAACACGGUCCAUACACCUACGGGUGGCAGCAGUAGGGAAUAUUAGAAAUGGGCGGAAGCCUGAUCUAGCAACACCGCGUGUGCGAUGAAGGCCUUCGAGUCGUAAAGCACUUUUUGGAGGGAUGAGGAAGGACAGUACCUCCAGAAUAAGCCUCGGCUAACUACGUG
rnacentral:rRNA from 1 species